ACCUGCGGAGGAUCAUUAUUGAAACAUUGUGAAGAGGAGGUUGAGCUGGCUCUCUAAGUGCAAUGUGCCCACCUCCUUUUUCAAUCUUCAUCCACCUGUGCACAUCUUGUAGGGGAAUUUGGAACCGGUGUAAAAGCCUUAGUACAAGUUUUUCUAUGCUUUUACACACACACCUGCUGUAUGUCUUUGAAUGCAUGUUUAUAGGGACUUGGUUGACCCUGUAUAAAAAACUAUACAACUUUCAGCAACGGAUCUCUUGGCUCUCGCAUCGAUGAAGAACACAGCGAAAUGUGAUAAGUAAUGUGAAUUGCAGAAUUCAGUGAAUCAUCGAAUCUUUGAACGCAUCUUGCGCCCCUUGGUAUUCCGGGGGGCAUGCCUGUUUGAGUGUCAUUAAAUUCUCAACCUCAAAGAACUUUUGUUUCUGAGGCUUGGAUGUGGAGGUUUGCUGGCUUAUGACAGAGUUCAGCUCCUCUUAAAUACAUUAGUGGAGUACUGGUUGUAUGAACCACCUUGGUGUGAUAAUAUAUUAUCUUACACCACUGGUUGUGUUCAUGGGCUCAUAAAAAAAGCAUCUCGAAUGCGAGGCGUAAUUCCCUUUACAUUUCGGUUUUGAAAGUUGCACUGAUUUUGCUCUUUCUGGCUUUAUUGAGCUUUAGAAUUCUGCUUCAAACUGUCCUAAGUUUACUGGACAAAAUCUAUUUGGCUUCUUUGACCUCAAAUCAGGUAGGACUACCCGCUGAACUUAAGCAUAUCA
rnacentral:rRNA from 1 species